GCCAGGCAUGGUGGCGGGUGCCUGUAAUCCCAGCUACUUGGGAGGCUGAGGGAGGAGAAUCGCUUGAACCUGGGAGGCAGAGGUUGCAGUGAGCCGAGAUCAUGCCACUGCACUCCGGCCUGGGUGACAGAGUGAGACUCCCUCUCAA
rnacentral:SRP_RNA from 1 species